GAACGAGAAAGUGGAGCAAUCCAUGAGUAAAGUGGCGACCGGGUGAGUAACACGUGACUAACCUGCCUUCGAGUGGGGGAUAACCUCGGGAAACCGGGGCUAAUACCGCAUAAUGCCGAGAGGUUAAAGGAGCAAUUCGCUGAAGGAGGGGGUCGCGGCUGAUUAGCUAGUUGGUGAGGUAACGGCCCACCAAGGCAAUGAUCAGUAGCCGGCCUGAGAGGGCGCACGGCCACACUGGAACUGAAACACGGUCCAGACUCCUACGGGAGGCAGCAGUGGGGAAUUUUGCGCAAUGGGGGAAACCCUGACGCAGCAACGCCGCGUGGAGGAUGAAGUCCCUUGGGAUGUAAACUCCUUUCGAUCGGGACGAUUAUGACGGUACCGGAAGAAGAAGCACCGGCUAACUCUGUG
rnacentral:rRNA from 1 species